CUUUUUAGGGCUGCACCCACGGCAUAUGGAGGUUCCCAGGCUAGGGGUCAAAUUGGAGCUAUAGCCACCAGCCUACACCACAGCCAGAGCAAAACCAGAUCCGAGCUGCUUCUGCAAUCUACACCACAGCUCACAGCAACGCCGGAUCCUUGACCUGCUGAGCAAGACCAGGGAUCGAACCCAAAACCUCAUGGUCUCUAGGUGGAUUCGUUUCCGCUGAGCCACGAUGGGAACUUCAAGUUAAGAGAUUUUAUAUUCUUUUCUUACAAUCAAUACUUUGAAAUCCACUAUAUAUUUUAUCUAUUCAGAACAACUUAAUUGGAGGCUAAAUUUUAAUCAUAAAUUUUAACCCGUAUUUAGAUUUUGUCAGUUAGAAUAUAAAAAGUAUUUACAUAUCUAAGUUGUUCCAAACAUACUUCAAAGUUUCCAAUAAUACACUCAUGUACCACAUAAGUAUAUUCCUUCAAUAUUUUCAUCCACAUUGACAAAAUUGGUUCAUCUUUAUAUUACUGCUUUAUGACUAUCUAGUAAGUAUAUUCAGUAAAUCUUGUGUUAAUUCAGUAUUAUUAAUGUCAAAUUCAAAUAGGUAUUGCAUAACUGAAAAGUAAAUUUAGGAGUUCCUGUCCUGGCUCAGCAGUAACGAACGCGACUAGGAUCCAUGAGGAUGUGGGUUCGAUCCCUGGCCUUGCUCACUGAGUUAAGGAUCCAGCAUUGCCGUGAGCUGCAGUAUAGGUCACAGACGCAGCUCAGAUCCUGUUGUUGCUGUGGCUGUGGUGCAGGAUGGCAGCAGUAGCUCUGAUUUGGCCCCUCGCAUGGGAACUUUCAUAUGCCAUGAGUGCGGCCCUAAGAAGCAAGAAAAGGAAAGGAAAGGAAAGGAAAGGAAAGGAAAGGAAAGGAAAGGAAAGGAAAGGAAAGGAAAGGAAAGGAAAGGAAAGGAAAGGAACUUUAAAAUUAACAAUAUCAAUACAGCAUUCUUGAAUUUUUUACCAUAGUUUUUCCUUUCCUUGAACCUCAAAUUUACCUACUUCAUAUAAAUUACAAUACUCAUGAAAAUUUUAAAUUACAAUGUCAUUUUUGUUUGUUUUUGCUGAAGUUUGACAAAUAUUUGGACUUGGAGUUAACAGUACAGAAAAUUACUAAUAAAACUUUCUAUUAUGCAACUAAAAAGAACUGGCAAAUAACAUAAGAUGAUUAAAGUCACUGUCUUCUAUUUCCUUCAAGAGACUACUCUAGGAAUCAGAAUGAAAUCAGAACAUACUCUAAUACCAUAUAUGAAAAUAAACUCAGAAUGGAUUACAGACCUACAUGUAAAACCAGAUACCAUAAAACUUUUAAAUCACAGCAACAUCUUUUUGAAUCCACCUCUAAGAGUAAUUAAAACAAAAAUAAAAACAAAUAUAAACAAAUGUUUCUAAUUAAAAUUAAAAUCCUUUGCAUAGCAAAAGAAACCAUAAAUAAAACAAAAAGACCUGGGAGUUCCUGCCAUGGAUCAGCAGUUACAACCUGACUAGGAUCCAUGACGAUGUGGGUUUGAUCCCCUGGCCUCGCUCAAAGGGUUAAGGAUCCAGUGUUGCCCUGACCUGCGGUGUAGGUCCCAGACACAGCUCAGAUCUGGCAUUGCUUUGGCUGUGGCAUAGGCCAGAACUUCCAUAUGUUGCAGGUACAGCCUUGUAAAGCAAACAAACAAACAAACAAAUAAAUAAACAGACAACCCACAGAAUGGAGAAAAUAUUUACAAACAAAGCAACCAUCAAGGGAUUAAUCUCCAAAAUAUACAAACAGCUCAUGAAGCUUGAUACUAAAAAAAAAAAAAUUUGGAGUUCCCAUCAUGGUGCAGCAUGAAUCCGACUAGGAACCAUGAGGUUGAGGGUUCAAUCCCUGGCUUCACUCAGUGGGUUAAGGAUCCAGCAUUUCUGUGAGCUGUGGUAUAGAUCACAGAUGCGGCUCAGAUCUGCCAUUGCUGUGACUGUGGCGUAGGCCAAUAGCUGUAGCUCUAAUUCGACCCCUUAGCCUGGGAAUCUCCAUAUGCCACACCUGCAGCCCUAAGAAGACCAAAAAAAAUUUUUACAAGGCUACAAACAGUAAAUGCUGGAGAGGGUAUGGGAAAAAGAGAACCCUCCUACACUACUGGUAGUAAUGUAAAUUGGUACAGCCACUAUGGAAAACAGUAAGGAGGGUCCACAGAAACUAGAAAUAGAACUACCAUAUGAUCUGGCAAUCCCACUCCUGGCUAUAGUUUCCAAACAAAACUAUAUUUCAGAAACAUACCUGCACACCUUUGUUCACAGCAGCACUAUGAACAGCCAAGACACAGAAACAACCUAAAUGUGUAUCAACAGAUGAAUGGAUUAAGCAGAUUUGGUACAUAUACACAAUGGAACUCUAACCAUUCCUAUAAACUUCAGAUUGAAAAUUUUUACUUAACCCCAGAUUCUGGAGAGUUCCCAUUGUGGCUCAGUGGGUUAGGAACAAGAUACAGAUUCAAUCCCUAGCCUCCCUCAGUGGGUUAAGGAUCUAGUGUUGCUGCAGGCUGUGGUGUAGGUUGUAGAGGCAGCUUGGAUCCAGUGUUGCUGUGGCUGUGGUACAGGCAAGCAGCUGAAGCUCUGAUUCAGUCCUGUAGCUUGGGAACUUGCAUAUGCCAUAGGUGUGGCUCUAACAAGAUUAAAAAAAGAAAGAUUAUAAAUUCUCAAUUUCAUUUGAAUAGGAAAUAUUCAGAAGACAUAUAUGAAAACAUAUUAAGUGUAAAUAUUCAACAUAUAAUUAAUAGCUCAGGAUUAUCCUAAGAGAGACAUAUGCUCUGAUGGACAAAACCUGAAAGUCCUUUCUACGGCUUCAAUUUCAAUAUACGCUGGUGAAGAAAAGGAAGAAAACGGAUAUAUCUAUACUGUAGGGCUGCCCACAAAGCACUCCAACUAGUGAGGAAGACAAGGUAGAAGAGUCAAGCAGGUAGUACCACCAUGAUCCUAACUCUGGAACAAGAUUCCAGUCAGUGGAUGGAGCUAAAGGUCUAAUUUAUAAGAACAAGAUCUAGGAAGGUGGGGAUUUAAGUCAGAGUUCAGUUCCACUAGGAGAGAUGGAAUGGUAAAUCAGAAAUCAAGGCUGAAAUUCAGUCACCCAACUGAACGCACUAACUGUAGUAAAGCAGUAGGGAGGCUCACUGUGACCAUGAGUGUUCAGGGUUCACCUCAUGUAUCCAAAUACCAAGGUCAGAACAUCAAACUCCCACACCCUGAUGAAAGUGGAUCACAUACAUCCUGCCUGCAUUGAUGAACAACAAUAAAAAUCCAGCCCAGGUCUAAGGAUGGCAGUGUGGCGCUACCUGAUGAGGUGCUCAUGAGCAGUGGGGUCUGGAGUCAUAAAAUCUCCAUUCUCACUUUAUUCUUCUACUUUCAAGUUCAGAAAGUCAUCCUAAGCUACAGGUUCCUUGUCUAUGAUAUGAGAUCAUUACAAUAUUUAUUCAAAUUCACAGGAAGAUGGAGAAGAAAGAAAAAUGUCCAAAAUGCUGACUAUGAUUACUUAUGGAUGGUAGAAUUUCAAGCAAUAUUUACUUUCCUCUUUGAAUUUUCCUGUUCAAAGUAGAAAAUUUUCAAAAUACAGAUAAAGAAAAGGAGGAUAAUAAAAAACCUCUAUGUCCAUAGUACCCAGAGACUUGGGAUCCCUUCUAAGUCUACCAUUCUAACUUAUCACAGAUUAUUUUUAUUUGAAUCUCAAAAACAGAAACAAUAUUAUUGCAAUGAGAACCUACUGUAUAGCACACGGAACUAUAUCUAGUCACUUAUUUGGAACAUGAUAGAGUAUAACAUGAGAAAAAAAUGUGUGUGUGUGUGUGUGUGUGUGUGCACGCGUGCAUGUGCCUGGGUCACUUUGCUGUACAAUAGAAACUGGCAGAACACUGUAAACCAACUAUAAUGGAAAAAAUAAAAUACAUUUUAAAAUGAAACAAUAUUAUUGAAAUUAUAUUGGAGCAAGCUAUGAAGAGAGACCACCUCUUAAAUGAAAGGCAAAUAAUAAUCACAAAUAUGAAAUAUUACAAUCCACAGCAUAUAGAGAAUGCCACAUUAAGUGCUACUAUAAAAUACUAUAACUCAAAAAAUACUUAUUCAAAUCAUCUUAUAGUCUGCUUAAAGAAUGAAAUUAUAUAAUAGAUGCUAAAAUUAUUUUCUAAAUGCAUUAAUAUCCAUUAGAGAUGUCAUUUAUUAAUACCAAAAAAACCCCACAAUUGUUGAUACAAAUAAAUUAGGAUUGAAUAACAUUCACUCAGGAAUUAUGAAGAAACUGAAAUGUGAAGCUAUCAAACCAUGAGCUAAAAUAUAUAAAAGUCUUUGAGCAGAUUCAAUAAUUUUUCAUGUCAUUCAUUGAAACAAAAAAAAAAAGGCUCCAAGGACUCUCAAGGAACUACAAACCAGUGAGUAAACAAGAAAUAUUUCUAAUCAUAAGGUUUGAAAAUUUUCCAUCUUAAGUAAGAAUAAUUUCUAGUUCAAAUAAAAAGAAUAAUUUCUAGUCAUAAAAAGUAAUAAUAUUUUCUGCAAAGGGAAUUUGAAAAAAAUUGGUGAAAAAAAAUAUGGUGCAUUUCAGCCCUAUCAUACUACAUAUAGGUCAAAUUUUUUAUUUUCAAAUGAAAAAGUGAAUCAGGAAAUGGUUAAGAUAAAAAUAACUAUAAUAAUCACUGUCCAGGAAGGACAUAAUAAAAACAUUCUCAGAAAUAUAAGAGCCAAAAGAAUAUGUUACAUGUUAAUAAAAUCAUGAAGGGUAUUGAUAAUAUGAACACAGAAUUAUUCAGCAAAAUACGAAGUAAUUCUUUGCCAUUUGAAGUGAAAGUAGUAUGGGGAAAAAAAUAAAAGGAAUUAAGAACCACAUAUUACAAAAUAUGUGGCAAUAUAGAGAAUUCUGAACCCUAAUUAUUCCAGCUAAGAAUAAAAAUAUAAACUAUUUCAGAAGUAUCAGAUAAGUAAAUGAAUGAUCUGUCUACUUAGGGUAGUGUGAUUCCUUAAUUGGCACUUUCAGGGUGCUAACACAGGAGAGGCCAUAUGUAGGCACUCUAGUCAACAGUCCAAGCUGAGCACAGCCUUCCGUCAGUGAACAUAAUUAGCCAAAUUUUUUGUGAAAAAAGUGGAGUUUUAUGAUGUACUGUUUUCACUGUCAUUAAUAAUAUCAAAGGUAUUUUCAAUAACUAAGUUAAAAACAAGAAUUUAGUAAUAAAAUCUGGUUUUGAUUAGGAUGUGAUAUAAGAUAUAGAUAGACUCAAAGCAUAAAUACAAUGUCAAAUAAAUAGAAAGAAUAUAUAAUAAUAUAAAAUUGUAUUUAUACAGCAUAAAAGGUUAUCAACAACUUUUUAAUAAUUUAUAAGCUUACAGCAUCUGCUCCUUUGAUAUGUUUAACAACCUUGUAUGCAUUCCAACUCUCAAGAUCCCAUAAGCUAAUCAAUUGGGUAUACAUGAUAGAAAUUAUCUCAAAAAU
rnacentral:lncRNA from 1 species